UCUCAAGUCUAAAUUUCUGAAGUGGGGGGGAAAAGAGAAGAGAGAAAGAGCCCUUCACAAACUCAAUUGAUCCUCUUCCUUUUUCUCGCCAGCAGAUCAAACCAAAAUUGAUCAGCAGCAACAAUGUCUUCUUCAACACCAAGAAGACGCCCAAAAUCAUCACCCAAAAACCCUAAUUCCAAAUUCAUCCCAAAUCACUCUCAUUCUCCUACCUCUUCUUCGACUCUUACUUCAUUACUUGCAGAAGUUGAACCACCCCCUAAUUUACUUCCUUCAAAAUCCGAUUUUCUCAAGCUCAUUGUUGUCAUCACAAUUGCCGCUUUUGUUGCCAUUUUCUGCAACUUCUUAUCCAGCUUCAUCAAUCGCCCCUCUUUACCUUUCUGCGAUUCCGACGUCGGAGAAUACGAUGUUUCAUUGCUCGAUACAUGUGAGCCUUGUCCAAAUAAUGGAAGGUGUUACAAGGGCCAGUUGGAAUGCAUUCAAGGAUAUAGGAGGUAUGGAAAAUCAUGCAUCGAAGACGGAGAUAUCUAUGAAGCAGCUAAGAAACUUUCAGUAUGGGCAAAAGAUCAUCUGUGUGAAGCACAUGCACAUUAUAUAUGUGAUGGAACUGGGACAAUUUGGGUGUCGGAGGACAAGUUGAAGGACAUGCUGGACAAAGGAUUCCAAGGUUCUACUGCAUAUGAUAUCAAGUAUCUAUAUGCAAAAGAAAAAGCAUUGGAGGACAUUAGUGGACUGCUGGAUACGAGAACCAUUGGCAACAGGGUCAAAGAGUUUAAGUGUCCUGACAAAUUAGCUGAAAGUUACAAAUCAAUGACUUGUCGUGCUCGGCAAUGGGUAGCUAAGAAUCUUUUACUUCUCAUGGCAGUAUUUGUACUGCUUGCAGGAUCGACAUUGUUGCUGUUGAGAAUUCAAAGAAGAUGGUAUUUGACAAAAAGAGCAGAACAUCUUUACCAUCAGGUUUGUGACACACUUGAGGACAAUGCUAUAAUGUCUAGAUGCAUGGGUGACAGAGAACCCUGGUUAAUUGCCUCAAGGCUCCGAGAUCAUAUACUUACUCCCAAGGAAAGAAGAGAUCCUUUUCUAUGGAAGAUGGUUGAAGAUUUGGUGGAGUCGGAUUCUCGUUUGGACCGCUAUCCAAAGCUUGUGAAGGGUGAAUCAAAGGUGGUGUGGGAAUGGCAAGUGGAAGGUUCUUUGAGUUCUUCAAGGAAAAAGAAGGUGGAUAUUGGCAGUUUGAAUUCUGGUGCAGAUAUGAAUAAAUCAUAUGGCUAGAAGCAUCAAGUUUAAGUUGGUGAGAUACAGAGUUUAUACAUGGAUAUGAUCAUUUGGAGAUUCAACAUUUUGACAAGUUAUCUAUCGAUUUCCAGCAUAUAAAUUAAAAUGUCCUAGUACACUUGUGUCUUCUACUUGUAUGUUGUGAAGUGCUCUGUAUCAUGCAAUUGAGACAUGUUUGCAGUUGUAUGGGGAAGACUAGUCACAUGUAAUCUACAAAAGCCCCAAAAGGCUUUAGAAGUUUGUAUGAGAACAUCCAUGUUACCAGAAGAGUCUAGAGUAAAUUGUUUUGUAAUAGCUGUGCUGGAGACGAUUGAGGGGAUAACUGUAGCCAUAAUCAGGGGCUUGUUACAGCUUUCAGCAGCUACAUCUUAUCGUAACUGAUUGCUGUACAUCUUUGAGCAGCAACUGGCCAAAGAAGCAUUUUUUUCCCCUAGCAGGCGGUGUUUCUGGUCGUCAGUUAGUAGUUUUGUCUAUAAAGAUGACUGGAAAGCAAAGACAGAAUAAAGCUAGAAUUCUACAAAAUUGCAGAGACGUACACCCCCCCCCCCCCCCGGAGCAAGGAAACGUCAUAAAUUUUGCAUUUGUGUGGAAUACCAGAUUCUCAUGUAUCAACUUGUAAUUACUUCGUAUAUUUAUAUUGAAUUUCAUUUUACGAAAAAAUUCGUUGGGAAGUUUGUGGUGUUUUCAAAAUUUGUGCUUCUAGCAUCUCAUUGACAUUCUUGUGUGGAAUGGGGUGCUAUUUGCCGGCUUAUAUUGCAUGUCGCAUCUUAUUAAUGAGAUUUUGUACUUUUGUAGUUCUA